AGUCGACGAACUUCCGUUAAUUGAUUAUGACGUGCUUGCACUGAAUGAGAUUUUAACACGAAGUGAGUGGCGGACGGGUGAGUAACACGUGGGUAACCUGCCCAGAAGCAGGGGAUAACACCUGGAAACAGAUGCUAAUACCGUAUAACAGAGAAAACCGCCUGGUUUUCUUUUAAAAGAUGGCUCUGCUAUCACUUCUGGAUGGACCCGCGGCGCAUUAGCUAGUUGGUGAGGUAACGGCUCACCAAGGCGAUGAUGCGUAGCCGACCUGAGAGGGUAAUCGGCCACAUUGGGACUGAGACACGGCCCAGACUCCUACGGGAGGCAGCAGUAGGGAAUCUUCCACAAUGGACGCAAGUCUGAUGGAGCAACGCCGCGUGAGUGAAGAAGGGUUUCGGCUCGUAAAGCUCUGUUGUUAAAGAAGAACGUGGGUGAGAGUAACUGUUCACCCAGUGACGGUAUUUAACCAGAAAGCCACGGCUAACUACGUGCCAGCAGCCGCGGUAAUACGUAGGUGGCAAGCGUUAUCCGGAUUUAUUGGGCGUAAAGCGAGCGCAGGCGGUCUUUUAAGUCUAAUGUGAAAGCCUUCGGCUCAACCGAAGAAGUGCAUUGGAAACUGGGAGACUUGAGUGCAGAAGAGGACAGUGGAACUCCAUGUGUAGCGGUGAAAUGCGUAGAUAUAUGGAAGAACACCAGUGGCGAAGGCGGCUGUCUGGUCUGUAACUGACGCUGAGGCUCGAAAGCAUGGGUAGCGAACAGGAUUAGAUACCCUGGUAGUCCAUGCCGUAAACGAUGAUUACUAAGUGUUGGAGGGUUUCCGCCCUUCAGUGCUGCAGCUAACGCAUUAAGUAAUCCGCCUGGGGAGUACGACCGCAAGGUUGAAACUCAAAAGAAUUGACGGGGGCCCGCACAAGCGGUGGAGCAUGUGGUUUAAUUCGAAGCUACGCGAAGAACCUUACCAGGUCUUGACAUCUUCUGCCAACCUAAGAGAUUAGGCGUUCCCUUCGGGGACAGAAUGACAGGUGGUGCAUGGUUGUCGUCAGCUCGUGUCGUGAGAUGUUGGGUUAAGUCCCGCAACGAGCGCAACCCUUAUUACUAGUUGCCAGCAUUCAGUUGGGCACUCUAGUGAGACUGCCGGUGACAAACCGGAGGAAGGUGGGGACGACGUCAAAUCAUCAUGCCCCUUAUGACCUGGGCUACACACGUGCUACAAUGGAUGGUACAACGAGUCGCGAAACCGCGAGGUUUAGCUAAUCUCUUAAAACCAUUCUCAGUUCGGACUGUAGGCUGCAACUCGCCUACACGAAGUCGGAAUCGCUAGUAAUCGCGGAUCAGCAUGCCGCGGUGAAUACGUUCCCGGGCCUUGUACACACCGCCCGUCACACCAUGAGAGUUUGUAACACCCAAAGCCGGUGGGGUAAC
rnacentral:rRNA from 1 species